rnacentral:lncRNA from 1 species
CUCGGGCUCCGCUCGCGCACCUUGCGGGUCUCUCGCCUCCAUCGCGGCCGGGGCGGGCCGUCCCUACGCUGGCGGCGGCGGUGGUGCACAGGCGCGCGGCGGUUAAGUAGUCCGCGGGCCGUGCGCCGCGGGGCUGGGAGCAGGGCGGCGCUGCCCCAGCGGAGAGCCCAAAUAACCUCCCUGCCUCGGGGGGUGCUGGGGGUACGGUGCCGGCCAGGAGGUGUGGCUGCGACUGUCCUGCUCCCCUCUCUAGCAUGGGCUCCAGCAGCGAGGGCAAUGCUUGUUGUGCCUUGAUUUUGCUUCCCCCGCCCCCCCCCCCGUUUCCUCCUGAGGAGCUGGGGCCCAGGAGCACCGUGUGCCCCAACUGCCCAUGCUACCCUGUGCCAAGGAGUGUCCGCCAAAAGGCUUGGGAGUCCCCAUCCUUGCUGCCACUGAGAGUGUCCCAGAGGGGUUUGCACCCAAGGAAACCAGCUGGCAUUGCCCUUUUUUCUCCGCCCACAAAAGUGAUUUGACACUGGAGUUGCAUCAACCGAAUAGCUCAGAGAGCCUCCCCUCUGCACUGAGGUCUGUUUUGCAGCCAAGCCAGGGGUCUAACAACCAGGCUGCCCAUAACCUGCUUGCUGUUGGUGUGUGCCUUUUCUCCCCUGAUUAUCUUGCUCUGCCCUUCCCUCCCCACCGCGUCCCACAGCAACCUCCGGCCCGCGCUGCCGCCACCGGGAACGAAGCUCCCCCCCUCCCCCGCGCGAGAGCUGGGGAUAACGAGAGGGAGGGACGGACGGGGGCAGAGACCCGCACGCAGCCGCCCCCAGGACAGAGCUGCGAGGAGUCGCCGGCCCUGGAGCUGAGGGAGAGGUCUGCUUGGAGCCAAAUCUUGUCUAUGUGUUUGUCACUCUGUCUCUUUUAA